rnacentral:rRNA from 1 species
CGGAGGGUGCAAGCGUUGUUCGGAUUUAUUGGGCGUAAAGCGCGUGUAGGCGGUUUCUUAAGUCUGAUGUGAAAGCCCUGGGCUCAACCCAGGAAGUGCAUUGGAUACUGGGAAACUUGAAUACGGGAGAGGGUAGUGGAAUUCCUAGUGUAGGAGUGAAAUCCGUAGAUAUUAGGAGGAACACCGGUGGCGAAGGCGGCUACCUGGACCGAUAUUGACGCUGAGACGCGAAAGCGUGGGGAGCAAACAGGAUUAGAUACCCUGGUAGUCCACGCCGUAAACGAUGAGAACUAGGUGUUGCGGGUAUUGACCCCUGCAGUGCCGCAGCUAACGCAUUAAGUUCUCCGCCUGGGAAGUACGGUCGCAAGACUA